rnacentral:rRNA from 1 species
UAGAGUUUGAUCAUGGCUCAGGAUGAACGCUGGCGGCGUGCCUUAGGCAUGCAAGUCAAACGAAAGCUCUUCGGAGCUUUAGUGGCAGACGGGUGAGUAACGAGUAGGAAUCUACCCUUUGGUGGGGAAUAACUAAUCGAAAGAAUAGUUAAUACCGCAUAACAUCGCAAGAUAAAAGAACGUAACUGUUCGCCGUUGGAGGAGCCUGCUUCCUAUCAGCUAGUUGGUGAGGUAAUAGCUCACCAAGGCUAUGACGGGUAGGGGGUGUGAGAGCACGACCCCCCACAAGGACACUUAGAUACGGGUCCUACACCUACGGGUGGCAGCAACCGGGAAUAUUGCGCAAUGGACGAAAGUCUGACGCAGCGACGCCGCGUGUGGGAUGACGGCCUUCGGGUCGUAAACCACUGUGGAGAGGGAAGAAGUUCUGACGGUACCUCUCUAGAAAGCACCUGCUAACUACGUGCCAGAAGCCUCGGUAAUACGUAGGGUGCAAGCGUUAUCCGGAUUUACUGGGCGUAAAGGGUUCGUAGGCGGUUAAAUAAGUGACGGGUCAAAGCCCCCGGCUCAACUGGGGAAAGGCUCAUCAAACUGUUUAACUAGAGUUGGUUCGGGGAUACUGGAAUUCUCGGUGGAGGAGUGAAACCCGUUGAUAUCGAGAGGAACGCCAAGAGCGAAGGCAGGUAUCUAGGACCACACUGACGCUAAGGAACGAAAGCUAGGGUAGCAAACUGGAUUAGAGACCCAGGUAGUCCUAGCCGUAAACGAUGAACACUAGCUGGUUGGAAAUUUUUAUUUUUGACUGGCGUAAGCUAGCGCGUUAAGUGUUCCGCCUGGGGAGUACGGUCGCAAGGCUAAAACUCAAAGGAAUUGACGGGGAAACGUACAACCGGCGUUCCAUGUGGUUUAAUUCGAUACAAAACGAAGAACCUUACCUAGGUUUGACAUCCCGAGAAAGCCCUCGAAAGAGGGAAGUGCCCUUCGGGGAACUCGGUGACAGGUGCUGCAUGGCUGUCGUCAGCUCGUGUCGUGAGAUGUUGGGUUAAGUCCCGCAACGAGCGCAACCCUUAUCUUUAGUUACCAUCAUUUAGUUGGGGACUCUAAAGAUACUGCCCCGGUUAACGGGGAGGAAGGUGGGGAUGACGACUGGUCCGUAUGGCCCUUAUGCCUAGGGCUACACACAUCCUACAAUGGCUAGUACAACGGGUUGCCAAACCGCAGGGUGGAGCUAAUCCUUUAAAGCUAGUCUCAGUUCGGAUUGGGGUCUGCAAUUCGACCCCAUGAAGCCGGAAUCGCUAGUAAUCGCGGGUCAGCAGACUGCGGUGAAUACGUUCUCGCCUCUUGUACAUACUGCCCGUCAACUAAGGGAAGUCGAGGGCGCCCGAAGCCCCUUCCGUCAAAGGAAGGGUUU